GAGAGCAUCAUUUAUGAUUUCAGGCCAUACAAAUACUGGAUGGUCUGCAAUAUGACAUCAUCCGGACGGGGUAUCACAAUGGUGGGUUUCGCUCAAGACUACCACUUGAGGAGCAGGAGAAAUAUCUUGGACGGCAGAAAAGAAUUGAACACUCCUUACAGGAACUUGCAAACCAGUCACAGUGUGAUGUAUUUCUUAAUGUAAGGAAUAUUGUUUCGUUUCAUAUGAUUCGUAGUGAUAUUGUGUAUGUCUUUGGGUCUGACCACCUGCAGACGAAGUGGGAAUUAUAAUUUAAUGAUUUUUUCUUUGUUUGUAAAUGAAUAGGGGAGUUCUGUCACUGCUUUGGGAACUUCACUUAAUGGAUUAAAGUUUGUCAGAGACGUUGUGGAAGCCUGCAUUGUAAGAAAUGUGAAGCCUGCAACUCUGUUCAGGUUGAUGAACUUUAGUCGUCAAUUGGGUGGAGAGUCGGACAAUCUUGAGAUGGAUGUAUUAGGGUUUGAAACAGUAACGAAAAGAAAACGGACGGAGGAGAAGAGAAAGAAUGAUGUUCAUGUUGUCAUCAUGUCCGAGCCAACAGCAGCUGCGAUGGAGGGGCAGCAUGGAGAAUCGUCGGAUCCAUUGGACAAAGCCCUGUUCGGCCCUUCGUUGAACAAAGCUGGCAUGCUCGUCUGUGGUGCCUUCUUCUCUGAAAAGCGAGCCAAAGUAUUGGAAGAAGAACGGCCCAUUGUGGAAUCAGCCUUGGAACAGUAUGGCAUUUCAUGCACAAUUUAUCUGG